rnacentral:rRNA from 1 species
GGAAUAUUGGACAAUGGGCGAAAGCCUGAUCCAGCAACGCCGCGUGAGGGAUGACGGCCUUCGGGUUGUAAACCUCUUUCAGCAGGGACGAAGCGAAAGUGACGGUACCUGCAGACGAAGGACCGGCCAACUACGUGCCAGCAGCCGCGGUAAUCCGUAGGGUCCGAGCGUUGUCCGGAAUUAGUGGGCGUAAAGGGCUCGUAGGCGGUCCGUCACGUCGGGAGUGAAAACUCAAGGCUAAACCUUGAGCGUGCUUCCGAUACGGGCGGACUAGAGGUAUGCAGGGGAGAACGGAAUUCCUGGUGCAGCGGUGGAAUGCGCAGAUAUCAGGAGGAACACCGGUGGCGAAGGCGGUUCUCUCGGCAUUACCUGACGCUGAGGAGCGAAAGCAUGGGGAGCGAA